GAUGAACGCUGGCGGCGUGCCUAAUACAUGCAAGUCGAGCGAACAGACUAGGAGCUUGCUCCUCUGACGUUAGCGGCGGACGGGUGAGUAACACGUGGAUAACCUACCUAUAAGACUGGGAUAACUUCGGGAAACCGGAGCUAAUACCGGAUAAUAUAUUGAACCGCAUGGUUCAAUAGUGAAAGACGGUUUUGCUGUCACUUAUAGAUGGAUCCGCGCCGCAUUAGCUAGUUGGUAAGGUAACGGCUUACCAAGGCAACGAUGCGUAGCCGACCUGAGAGGGUGAUCGGCCACACUGGAACUGAGACACGGUCCAGACUCCUACGGGAGGCAGCAGUAGGGAAUCUUCCGCAAUGGGCGAAAGCCUGACGGAGCAACGCCGCGUGAGUGAUGAAGGUCUUCGGAUCGUAAAACUCUGUUAUUAGGGAAGAACAAAUGUGUAAGUAACUAUGCACGUCUUGACGGUACCUAAUCAGAAAGCCACGGCUAACUACGUG
rnacentral:rRNA from 1 species